AAGCCCAAAAGAAAAAAAAAGGGGAUGAAGAACGAACUAUAUAUGGGUGUUUAAUGGGUGAACUUGUGAUUUAAAAUUUGGUUGGCACGAGAAUUUAAAUCUUGGCGAACGUUAUGACUUGAAUUUCAGUUGGCACGAGAGUUUGAAUCGUGGUGGAUGUUGUGAAUCUGAAUCUUAGUGGGCACCAAGAUUUGAUUUUUGAUAGGAUUUGAGGUAUUUAUGUUAGGGUGUGUUGCGAUGCGCUUUAAGGUGAGGCACGCAACGCUUGCACGACACGUUAGAGAAGAAGCACCAUUCUCUGGGUUCAAGCUGGUGCUCGCCACCUGGGAUAGUAUGAAACUAUCUAAGGAUCUGCAUAUGAUGGCAUGCUUAACUUGAUUUUGUCUCAAGCGGCUUGGUCGGAUUGGGUUCGAUUCAGACAGGCCAUGGGCUUACAAAACCUUGGUUGAGAGCCAUAAGGUUAAAAAGGCUGGAGCUUGGCUCAAGCUCUAUCGCGUGUUACCUUGGUCAAUGACGCUUUUGACUUGGAAUGAAUUUAAAGAUAAACAUAUACUCUAAAACUAAACAAGAUCUUUUUCAGUUUUAAUAUGUAUUAACAAAAGUCUGAAACCAUAUAUAUUGUGUUACAGCAUAAACGAGCUUCACUUUCAAUUCACUCACUAAUAAGAAAGCGUCACUUUCAUCCAGCUAACAUAACAUACUUUGCAAACCAAAACAAAUAAUAAAAAGCCAGUUUAUUGAAAAGAGUUCUACGCUAUUUUCUAAAACAAGCACAAUAAGUCCAAAUGAAUUAUCACCGUGAUGCCACCCCUGCUGCGUCCUGGUUCGGCAACGAACAAUUUUGAAGCGGAGUUGGAGGGGAGACAAUCAGAAAAUAAAUGGAGGAGCUCCAGUUGCAGGCUCAUCCGCCUCGGCGUCUGUUUGGUACAACACAAACGCAUUUGAUGAUCACAACAUCGAAAAAAUAAAGCAUGUGUAUCUCGUACAAAAGGAAAAUGAUCCACCAAAACCUCGAGUCCUCAUGUGAGAAACAAUUGAGUCCUGGGGGUGCCCCGCUCUUUUGGCGCGUGCUCUUUGUGGUGGGCCGUAAUACGUUCUUGCAGUACGGUGUAAGUGUGCAAGCUGUUUCUUUUGAGGCACCGGACUGUACAUUGGAGCACGUUUAUAUUGCGACGCACAUGGCUACUUCUGCGCCGGGAUCGGCUAACCAUGCUCUGUUCUGGCUGACCUUGCAACUUAUGGUCGUGGAGACUAAAAAGUGUAGCUAGUAUAUGAUUCUCUUGGUCCAGGAUGGGAGUAAUUUGGCUGAUUUAACACCGACAGCGAAGGACCUAAGAACCUGGCGUCAAUUAACUCAAACAGCGUCAAAAGAUUCUGCAAAGCUACCAUCUCUAUUUCUUAAUAAAAUACAUUUUAUUUGCUUAUUUCCUUUUUGUAUUGAGGUUGGACGUUUGGAAAGGAUAAAUAGGUUCACCUCAAAAAGGAAAUGAAAAGUAGUUGUCAAAGUCGUUUUGAGAAACGUGGCCACAUCACUACAAAGCCGAAGAAUUGGUAAAACCGGGUUACUACAUUGUGAACAAAUUGUUCCAAGGCUUCUGUAGUCAAAGGAAGGUAGAUGGCAUCUCUAUGUGAUGAUUGGAAAGGUAUCACUGAAGGAUAAAACCAGAAAGUGGUGGUAACCCUGGCCAAGUCAAUGCUUAAGGAAAAUUGUUGCUACCUUAUGGCAAGCAGUCUCCUCUUUCGGAUGACAUAUUUAGACACAGUCACGUAACUGAACAUGAAUCCGACAGAGCAGUUGGAAAGGGACUGUGCAGUUGUGUGCAACUCUCAAAAGAAAGAACCAAGUGAAUCCAAAUAAAGCUUUCUUGAUUUCUGAAAGGAACCAGCAUAGAUUAGUAGUCGAAGUCUUCUGGUCAGUGCCGGACGAUUGAAAGCUUCGGUUCCAUCCCUCCUUUUGUCUGUCAGGUGAACCCCGAAGAAAGAAUGGGAAGAGUUCCUGACGCGACAGGAUGGCUAAGCCCGCGUGGCAAAGCUUGGAUAGGGAGCCCUGUCCUGACUUCGGUAUCAAAUGGUCCGAUAUUCCUAAUCAAGGUAAAUGUUUUUCUUAGGAAAAAAGGGCACAAUUUGGACCGAUUUGGCUUGCAACUGGGGCUUUUUUUUUUGCCACCACCGACCUUUCCAGCCAGUCUCGUGGAAUGCCGUCGCCUCUUUAACGGCCUGCGAAUGCCGUCGGUGCCUGAACUCCCUCGAGCUUAAACUUCACCCAAUGAAGUCCAAAACGUGCCUGAUUUUCCGACAGAAAACAUGAGCCUUGCAAAAGGAGUAAGGUCCCCGAGUAAAACUGAAGUAGGAUCAGUUCUCCCCUGUCGAGCUCUUGCCACGGAAGGAACAGAGGGUGUUUCUUGUUUUAUGCUCUGAGAGACGUCCGGUUUGCUUACUACAACUAUUUAGUACGUGUCUACGUGUUGCGUGUUGGUCUGUCUCUGGAGUCUUUGUUUAUAAAGCCCAUGUUGACUGUAACUAGUAAAGCCCACAAGUGAGUCAGUUGCAAAUAGGGUGGCUCAACCUGAUGGGCAGCUCUAUUCCAUGUGUGUAUCCUUUUCCAAGUCAUGAGUCAGUAAAACAUUGUGAGGUAUGUCUUUGUUAUGUGAUAUUGAUUAGUAUGUGAACCUGAAUGUGGUGAUUGGUUUUGGCUA